rfam:Dichanthelium oligosanthes cultivar Kellogg 1175 unplaced genomic scaffold Do_version_2_scaffold6440, whole genome shotgun sequence.
AUGCUAUGAUGAGGGCAUACAGUGAUGUACUCUUGGAGGCGUUCUCAUGCCUUGGAGAUGAACUCAUCAGGAUGCUGCUAGAAGCUUGAAAUCUUGUUCCGAAGGGC